CGUGCUGUUGUUUACCUUUGUAAUUUCCGGAUUUCCCUUUGGUCUCCGCGGUACACAUCACAACGCUUUGAACUGUGGGUAAUUCCCUUUGGUGAAGUCUGCAUCGAUGCAGACUCACGGAAAGGGCUCGGUAAGUGUGUACUCAAACCCUCGCGCCCUUUGAAAUUCGACAUUGGGACAACCCUUAAGCCCUUACGAAUUUCGCGAGAACGCGCACCACAAGUCCGUGAGUCUGUGAGUCCGGACUUUGGGAUUGGGCCAAUGUGGAAUCACCAA